rnacentral:piRNA from 1 species
UUGGUCAUGAUGUUUGUGCAGGAAUAGAAAC